rnacentral:misc_RNA from 1 species
ACUCACCACCAGCAUAUGAAUCAAAGUAGCAGCAAUUUCGGUUUCAGUGCGGAAAAUCCCGCAGCAGUUUCACCAAUUGAUUUGAUUGACCACCCAGUGGAGGUAGUAGCAAAGUCAGUGGGUCAGGAAAGUCAGAAGGCUAGCAGCCUAUUCUACCAGCCUUUAUUCUGUCCCCAAAAGCAAGAGCGGAUUUAGCAAUCUAGUUGUCAUCAAGACAGAAUGCCUCUUUGCUUUGCAGGAGUUGAAAAUUACUUAAUUUAAUAAAGGUAGGAAUACGAUUGACUUUCCUGGGAUUGGUGUGUGGUAGUCUCAAUUCAUUCCCUCCUCAAUGCUAAAAAUCGUUAGGCCGACAAUUGAUAGUGCUAGCACAGGAAAAGGAACGUAUGCAGUAGCAGUAGGAGGCACCUAUCCUUGUUUUAAAAGUAGCAGUCAUAAUAGCAAGAUGAGUAGCAGGGGAAUUAGAGGAAGCAUCCAAUUUGACAUUAUAAAGGGGGUGAACGCACUACUAGUCGUAGGGCGGAAACGGUCUAACAAUAACUCAUGAACUGAGGCUAAGAAAAAAGAUUCGAAAUUGGAAAAUCAGAAGAAAAAACUUCUAUCGCAGAGAUGUUUAAACGAGUGGUUUUCCCUAGGCCUUUCAGGCUGGUUGUUUAGUUUAACCGAAAAGAGGCCUUAGGUUAGGUGUGCAGUAGAGGUUGAGUAAUUUAGUUUGAAAUGCCCUAAUGAGGUAGUAACAAGGCUUACUCAAGAUCACUAGCUCCUCGAAGCAGACCAGAGAGACCUAGUCAAGGAACAAGCCGAGAGAGCUACUGCACUAACUAACUAACUCGGGAAAACAACAACUCUCUUUCUAGAGCUACGGAUCGGGGGGCUACUCAACGCCCACUAGGGUACCCUCUUUGAGAAGCUCCUCUGAGAAGUUCAGAAAAGAGCUACUUAAGGACCAGCAUCAAGUCAGUCUUACCUUUCCUCUCCUUAAGAACUCAAGAACUCGGAGCUACCUGGAAGCCCUAACUCCGAACUCUUUACUCAUUAGGUGUACAUGGAUUCCGCUCUUCCCGAAGCCGAAAAAGGUUCUGUUCUGAAAGAGCUCGAGCAUAGUGUACGAAACGAAAGGGAAUGAGGGAAUGAAGGCUGAUAGGUUGAGCAUACCUUACACGAGAAGGAGAGAAGAGGCUCGUACAACAGGUAGAGGGUUGAAGAGUGGAAGACCCUUCGUGUAGCCUUCUUCUAUAAGAAGCUGCGACGAAGCGAAUCUCUCAUCUGGAACCCUCUCACUGCCAGCUUGACGGCUUGACUGCAUUACCUUCGUCACCUUCCCUUUGUCCCUUAACUGCUGACAGCAAUUAGCAAGUAAUCCCGGAUUUGGGUUUGUCUCGUGCAAAACAUCAUUUCUGGAUAGGAAUUCAGCCAUUUGCCG